CGAAGUGCCCCGCAGCCUGGUCAUCUGGACAAAGUGACCUUUCCUAACGUUCUAGGCCACAGAGCUGGUGAUUAGCUGUAGGAUGGCACUGAUUAACCUCUGUGGCUCGGUCUUUGGCAAUUGGACUUUAUUCGCGUCCCCAGGGGUACACAUGGCUGGUGAGACAGGAGAGGAAGAAAUUCCCUGAAACAGACAAGAUAUUUUAGUUACAAGGGACAGAUGAUGCAACUCAAGCUGCCUAAAUAGACAAAAAUAUAUAGGCUCAGGCUGAGAGUGUAGCCCAGUGGUAGAGUACACGCUCAGCGUGUGCGAAGCCCUGGAUUCCGUGCUCAGCACCGCGGUGGUAGAGGAAUGUACAGCAUCCAGUAAAUAAAGUUUACUCAGGCAUGUGACUCAGUACAGAGGUUCACACAAGGUCACUAGGACCCGCCCACAGUCACUUCUUGACUUCCCUUUGUACACAGUGGCUUUUGUCCUCCUAUUCCAAACAGGGGUGGGGGCAGGCUGGCAGCCACACUCCUGACAGACCUCGGAUGCUCCAGGCCAGUGGAAGAGAGGCGGAAGCCCUCCCGUCUCCGUCUCCGCUGCACAUCUCCCGCCCACACGGGUUGGGUCCCAGGCUCAUUCUGAACCACCCAGUACCUGAAUGGUCCACAUCUGACUCGGGCUGAGUGUGGACUGGGGACUGGCAGUGGGUUCCCAGAGGAAAAUCACUGUUCUGUUACCCAGGAGACAGGUUUGAAUGAGACUCUGUAUAGGAAAGUACUCUGUAAUAUGAAGGGCUACCCAGCACUUGGGAAGCUGAGGCAGGAGGAUCGCCAUGAGUCCGAAGCUGGCCUGGUCUACAUCGUGAGUUCAAGACCAACCUGAACUACACAGCAAGAUGCUGUCUCAACAAAACAAAAUUGUGAAGGGCUACACAAAAAUGAAGGAUUGUUACUAUUGCUAUUUUUACUAUUAUUAUCUUUUCCUAAUGUCUCCCACUCCUGCUCUGACUAUGCAGCAAGGCGCUUUCCCAUAAGACACGAAGAAUGAAUGUGGCCUCACAGCGAGAACCCGGCCAGGGCUGCCGUGAGCACAUGUGGCAUCUUUGUUAGACUAGAAAUGGACUGCUCCCUCCACCUCUGGAGAGUGCAGUCCUCGGGAAACGUGGUGUAGCAAUUGGAUAGCAUCUUUGUGUAGAGAAAAAGUCACCCAUUCUUCCAGGCAGACCCCUGCAUCCUAGGAUGCACAGCACGCUGAAUGGUUGGUAUGCGCUGGAGGCUGCUGCUGCUUCUGCCUGAGCUGAGCAGUGGGGCAGUGGGGCUGGGGCUCCGUGAAGUACACAACCCAAACAGCUGUACUCUGUAGUUAUGAUGUGAGUGAUGGACCAUCUAGUGGGUUGAACUCUUGAAGUCCUACUUCCCACUGUUCUGACAAAGUUAUUCUAACCCUCCAGGACCAUUUACUACUAUCCCUUCUUCGAGGCUUUUCACUCCCUGCUGACAGCAGCAGUCUGGCUGCCUCUGUCAGUUAACUACCUACUAGCCAGUGAUUGAGACCAUGCUGGCCUUUCCAGGUAUGAACUGCGUAUCAUUCCAGCUGCAAGGCAGAGAAUCAUUCCUGUUUUACUGUGUUGCCUGGUGAUGUUGCAGAGGACAGCUAACCCUUCCAAAUGAACACAGGGCACUGGUUACCCACCACUGGGUACUGCUGGAGAGUCAGAUGCUCAUUUCUCCAAGUUGCCCAGCAAAGGCAAGGAAAAGCACCCUUUGUCUAGAUGGACCCCCACUGAUGGCCAUGCUAACUCCUGGCAACAGCAGCUCCAGAGGGAACUGUGUGAAUGUCCAGCCAGCCUCUGGGGAGCCAAGGGUAUGGUGCAGCAACCUUUAUGCUCCUCCACCAGAGUUUUAGAUUCUUAAAAGACUUCUGACUCUUCUAUAACACAGGAGCCAAAAGUCACUUGCGAUGCUGUGUUGUGCCCAGGUUAUCCCUUUUGCUUGACCCUUAGGGUUUUUUGAAUCAUGUGAAAUGCACAGCUAUGAAAGAAACUUUGCAAAAUGAUUUUAGCCAGGACCAACCAGUCAUGAGUCACCACAUCAGUGUUGGUAUUAUUUUGUUUGUUUGUUUUUUGAGAUGAGAUCUUACUGUUUCCCAGGCUGGUUUUGAACUUUUGGGUUCAAGUCGUCUUCCUGCCUCAGUCUCCUGAGUAGCUGGGACUACAAGUAUGUGCCACUGCCCCUGGCCAACACUGGUGUAAAUGAAUUGAAUCUCUGUUUAGAGGUCUCUCCGGCCUAGAAAACACCUUUGCUGGACACUGUUGUUGGUAGCUUACCUGUCUUCUUUACACAGAAAAUACUUUUUCUGCUGCCUUGGCUCUCAUUUCCUCACUAUCUACUUGCUUUUACUUCCUUCGAGGUGGCUGGUUUGUCUGCUAGCCCAUUCCUUACUCCCGUCCAUUCUCUGCCC
rnacentral:lncRNA from 1 species